rnacentral:rRNA from 1 species
CCUACGGGGGGCUGCAGUGGGGAAUAUUGGACAAUGGGGGAAACCCUGAUCCAGCCAUGCCGCGUGAGUGAGGAAGGCCCUAGGGUUGUAAAGCUCUUUUGUGCGGGAAGAUAAUGACGGUACCGCAAGAAUAAGCCCCGGCUAACUUCGUGCCAGCAGCAGCGGUAAUACGAAGGGGGCUAGCGUUGAUCGGAAUCACUGGGCGUAAAGGGUGCGUAGGCGGAUCUUUAAGUCAGGGGUGAAAUCCCGGGGCUCAACCCCGGAACUGCCUUUGAUACUGGUGAUCUUGAGUUCGGGAGAGGUGAGUGGAACUGCGAGUGUAGAGGUGAAAUUCGUAGAUAUUCGCAAGAACACCAGUGGCGAAGGCGGCUCACUGGCCCGAUACUGACGCUGAGGCACGAAAGCGUGGGGAGCAAACAGGAUUAGAUACCCUUGUAGUC